GAUGAACGCUGGCGGCGUGCUUAACACAUGCAAGUCGAACGGUGAAGGCGGAGCUUGCUCUGCUGGAUCAGUGGCGAACGGGUGAGUAACACGUGAGCAAUCUGCCCCUGACUCUGGGAUAAGCGCUGGAAACGGCGUCUAAUACUGGAUACGAGCUGCGAAGGCAUCUUCAGCAGCUGGAAAGAACUUCGGUCAGGGAUGAGCUCGCGGCCUAUCAGCUUGUUGGUGAGGUAACGGCUCACCAAGGCGUCGACGGGUAGCCGGCCUGAGAGGGUGACCGGCCACACUGGGACUGCGACACGGCCCAGACUCCUACGGGAGGCAGCAGUGGGGAAUAUUGCACAAUGGGCGAAAGCCUGAUGCAGCAACGCCGCGUGAGGGACGACGGCCUUCGGGUUGUAAACCUCUUUUAGCAGGGAAGAAGCGAAAGUGACGGUACCUGCAGAAAAAGCGCCGGCUAACUACGUG
rnacentral:rRNA from 1 species